GUCAUUUACGACCCAACGUCUCGACAUUGCAGUAUAGUGUCCUCAUUAGGGUUAUCGUGAUCUGCUCUGCUUUUGGUUCGGGGUAUUUUACUGUGUGCACAUGUGCGGGGAUCGUGACUAAAACGCCACACGAGUACAUACGAGUAACACACAAGUACAUACGAGUACAUACGAGUAACAUACGAGUACAUACGAGUAACAUACGAGUAACACACGAGUACAUACGAGUAAAACACAAGUACAUACGAGUACAUACGAGUAUAAUACGAGUACAUACGAGUAGAAUACGAGUAAAAUACGAAUAGUAAACUUGUUUUUAGUGUUUGUAGAUUGAAUACAGGCAAAAAGAUCGUCUUCUCUGUCGAAAAACGUGGAAUGGAGGAACGGGGAAUGGAGGAACGGGCAAUGGGGGAAUGGAGGAACGGGAAAUGGGAGAACGG